rnacentral:rRNA from 1 species
CCUACGGGAGGCAGCAGUGGGGAAUAUUGGGCAAUGGGCGCAAGCCUGACCCAGCAACGCCGCGUGAAGGAAGAAGGCUUUCGGGUUGUAAACUUCUUUUAAGAGGGAAGAGCAGAAGACGGUACCUCUUGAAUAAGCCACGGCUAACUACUUGCCAGCAGCCGCGGUAAUACGGAGGUGGCAGGCGUUGUCCGGAUUUACUGGGUGUAAAGGGCGUGCAGCCGGGAAGACAAGUCAGAUGUGAAAGCCCGCGGCUCAACCGCGGAACUGCAUUUGAAACUGUUUUUCUUGAGUACCGGAGAGGUCAUCGGAAUGCCUUGUGUAGCGGUGAAAUGCGUAGAUAUAAGGAAGAACACCAGUGGCGAAGGCGGAUGACUGGACGGCAACUGACGGUGAGGCGCGAAAGCGUGGGGAGCAAACAGGAUUAGAUACCCGGGUAGUC